UACAGAGGUCUCAAGCGUUGUUCGGAUUCAUUGGGCGUAAAGGGUGUGUAGGUGGCGCCGUAAGUCGGGUGUGAAAUUUCGGAGCUUAACUCCGAAACUGCAUUCGAUACUGGUGGGCUUGAAUCCGGGAGAGGGAUGCGGAAUUCCAGGUGUAGUGGUGAAAUGCGUAGAUAUCUGGAGGAACACCGGUGGCGAAGGCGGCAUCCUGGACCGGCAUUGACGCUGAGGCGCGAAGGCCAGGGGAGCAAACGGGG
rnacentral:rRNA from 1 species